CAGGGUUUGACAUGGACAGGAAGUCUCGUGAAAACGAGGUCCCUUCGGGGUCUGUCCACAGGUGCUGCAUGGCUGUCGUCAGCUCGUACCGUGAGGUGUUGGGUUAAGUCCCACAACGAGCGCAACCCCUGUCGUCGGUUGUAUCUCUCCGACGAGACCGCCACCUAAAGGUGGAGGAAGGUGGGGAUGACGUCAAGUCAGCACGGCCCUUACGUCCUGGGCGACACACACGCUACAAUGGCUGGAUACAAUGGGACGCCAACCCGCGAGGGGGAGCCAAUCCUACCAAAACCAGUCUCAGUUCAGAUUGCAGGCUGCAACCCGCCUGCAUGAAGUUGGAGUUGCUAGUAACCGUGAGUCAGCACAUCACGGUGAAUACGUUCCC
rnacentral:rRNA from 1 species